UUGACUCCCCUCACUGCUUCUCUGAUAACAAUCUGGCACUUUAUCAGCAGGGUCUUUUAUCUGGAAGGAUUCACUGUGUUCUGCUGCUUGGAACUAUUCUGGGAGGGCACAAAGACAAGCUUUCAUCUUAGAAAGGAAAUGGAACUACAUCUAGAAGGGGUAAGAAAGAGUUAAAGCUGUAAAAAGAACUCCAAGUCUUUCCCUGCCAGAAAGGAGAGG
rnacentral:lncRNA from 1 species